rnacentral:rRNA from 1 species
AUUGGUUUCUCCCUUCUGACGUACCAAGAUGUCAUUAAUUUGGUGUCUUGGGGAAUCAGGACUGUUACUUUGAAAAAAUUAGAGUGUUUAAAGCAGGCUCGCGCUUGAAUACAUUAGCAUGGAAUAAUGAAAUAGGACGUUUGAUUCUAUUUUGUUGGUUUCUAGGAUCGACGUAAUGAUUAAUAGGGAUAGUUGGGGGCAUUAGUAUUCAAUUGUCAGAGGUGAAAUUCUUGGAUUUAUUGAAGACUAACUACUGCGAAAGCAUUUGCCAAGGAUGUUUUCAUUAAUCAAGAACGAAAGUUAGGGGAUCGAAGACGAUCAGAUACCGUCGUAGUCUUAACCAUAAACUAUGCCGACUAGGGAUCGGAUGAUGUUAAUUUUUUAAUGACUCAUUCGGCGCCUUACG